UACGUAGGUCGCAAGCGUUGUCCGGAUUUACUGGGCGUAACGAGCGCGCAGGCGGCUGGUCAAGUCCGAUGUGAAAUCUCCCGGCUCAACUGGGAAACUGCAUCGGAAACUGAUCGGCUUGAAGAUGGGAGAGGGUAGUGGAAUUCCCGGUGUAGUGGUGAAAUGCGUAGAUAUCGGGAGGAACACCAGUGGCGAAGGCGACUACCUGGCCCAUUCUUGACGCUGAGGCGCGAAAGCUAGGGGAGCGAACGGG
rnacentral:rRNA from 1 species